rnacentral:rRNA from 1 species
UACGUAGGGUGCGAGCGUUGUCCGGAAUCAUUGGGCGUAAAGAGCGUGUAGGCGGCUCGAUAAGUCUGCUGUGAAAGUCCAGGGCUCAACCCUGGAAGGCCGGUGGAAACUGUCGGGCUAGAGUCCGGAAGAGGCGAGUGGAAUUCCCGGUGUAGCGGUGAAAUGCGCAGAUAUCGGGAGGAACACCAAUGGCGAAGGCAGCUCGCUGGGACGGUACUGACGCUGAGACGCGAAAGCGUGGGGAGCAAACAGG